GAAUUAUCUCAUUGAAAUUUGUAUAGUUUUUUUUCUCUAGUCAGAUUUGUUUUGGGGAUAUUUUUCCUGAGGUUUUUUUAACUGACCUUUAUUUUAGAUCAAUGCAAAUUCAAGACUAAUUUUUCAUAUUGCAUCUUUCAGGCAUGCGAUUCUUCCGCUAAUUCGUGGAGUUCCGCAACUGCCAAGACCGUUGAUUUGCUGACUUGCACAAAUUAAUAAUUUAUAUUCCGCCAACUUUUUUGAAAUUCCUCAAAUCUAAAUUCUAAAUUUUUUACUUACUCAAAAUCUUGUUAACAAGACAUUUGUACUGCCCUUUCCAGCACCCUCUAAUUUUCUUCCUAAGUUCUUAUUCUCGCACUAUACUGUUUUUUUUUUGUUUAUUAUGUAAUUAUUUAUUUGUUGGAUAUGUUAGUUGUCUUCCUAAUUUAGCUUUUUUCUUUUAUCAGGUACUUUUGUUCCUCGUAAAGAAGUUGAAAUUGUUAGAACUGUUUCUGCAACUGUUAUAAAACCUAACCAAGCUUUGAGAUUGAAAGCCAAAACUGAAACUAAAGAUCGAGAAGGCAAAAGCAGAGUGGCUGGGGAAGAAUGGAUUGUAAAAAAAACGGGUGCAUAUCUUCCAGGUGCUUAUGAAGAAAUUGUAGAUGUCGUUGAUGCCUAUGUUCUUACGGAAAAGGAAGCUGUUCACAUUAGAGCCAAAAGGACGUUUGUUGAUGAAUUUAAUAAAACUAGAAAAAAUGGUGAAGAGUGGCUCAUCACCUUUGAGGAUACUGAAACAUUCAUUCCUGGUGUGUAUGAAGAAGUUGUAGGAGUAGUUCAUAUAACUACACUUUCUAAUCGACAGUAUUGUGUAAUUCUUGAUCCCAUUGGUGAGGAUGGAAAACCCCAAUUGGGAAA